UGGGGAAUUUUGGACAAUGGGCGAAAGCCUGAUCCAGCAAUGCCGCGUGUGUGAAGAAGGCCUUCGGGUUGUAAAGCACUUUUGUCCGGAAAGAAAUCCUUGGCUCUAAUACAGUCGGGGGAUGACGGUACCGGAAGAAUAAGCACCGGCUAACUACGUGCCAGCAGCCGCGGUAAUACGUAGGGUGCAAGCGUUAAUCGGAAUUACUGGGCGUAAAGCGUGCGCAGGCGGUUUGCUAAGACCGAUGUGAAAUCCCCGGGCUCAACCUGGGAACUGCAUUGGUGACUGGCAGGCUAGAGUAUGGCAGAGGGGGGUAGAAUUCCACGUGUAGCAGUGAAAUGCGUAGAGAUGUGGAGGAAUACCGAUGGCGAAGGCAGCCCCCUGGGCCAAUACUGACGCUCAUGCACGAAAGCGUGGGGAGCAAACAGGAUUAGAUACCCUGGUAGUCCACGCCCUAAAACGAUGUCAACUAGUUGUUGGGGGAUUCAUUUCCUUAGUAACGUAGCUAACGCGUGAAGUUGACCGCCUGGGGAGUACGGUCGCAAGAUUAAAACUUAAAUGAAUUGACGGGGUCAUAGCUGUUUCCU
rnacentral:rRNA from 1 species